rnacentral:rRNA from 1 species
GAAAGGCCAAUCAAACCGGGAGAUAGCUGGUUCUCCCCGAAAGCUAUUUAGGUAGCGCCUCGUGAACUCAUCUCCGGGGGUAGAGCACUGUUUCGGCAAGGGGGUCAUCCCGACUUACCAACCCGAUGCAAACUGCGAAUACCGGAGAAUGUUAUCACGGGAGACACACGGCGGGUGCUAACGUCCGUCGUGAAGAGGGAAACAACCCAGACCGCCAGCUAAGGUCCCAAAGUCAUGGUUAAGUGGGAAACGAUGUGGGAAGGCCCAGACAGCCAGGAUGUUGGCUUAGAAGCAGCCAUCAUUUAAAGAAAGCGUAAUAGCUCACUGGUCGAGUCGGCCUGCGCGGAAGAUGUAACGGGGCUAAACCAUGCACCGAAGCUGCGGCAGCGACGCUUAUGCGUUGUUGGGUAGGGGAGCGUUCUGUAAGCCUGUGAAGGUGUGCUGUGAGGCAUGCUGGAGGUAUCAGAAGUGCGAAUGCUGACAUAAGUAACGAUAAAGCGGGUGAAAAGCCCGCUCGCCGGAAGACCAAGGGUUCCUGUCCAACGUUAAUCGGGGCAGGGUGAGUCGACCCCUAAGGCGAGGCCGAAAGGCGUAGUCGAUGGGAAACAGGUUAAUAUUCCUGUACUUGGUGUUACUGCGAAGGGGGGACGGAGAAGGCUAUGUUGGCCGGGCGACGGUUGUCCCGGUUUAAGCGUGUAGGCUGGUUUUCCAGGCAAAUCCGGAAAAUCAAGGCUGAGGCGUGAUGACGAGGCACUACGGUGCUGAAGCAACAAAUGCCCUGCUUCCAGGAAAAGCCUCUAAGCAUCAGGUAACAUCAAAUCGUACCCCAAACCGACACAGGUGGUCAGGUAGAGAAUACCAAGGCGCUUGAGAGAACUCGGGUGAAGGAACUAGGCAAAAUGGUGCCGUAACUUCGGGAGAAGGCACGCUGAUAUGUAGGUGAAGUCCCUCGCGGAUGGAGCUGAAAUCAGUCGAAGAUACCAGCUGGCUGCAACUGUUUAUUAAAAACACAGCACUGUGCAAACACGAAAGUGGACGUAUACGGUGUGACGCCUGCCCGGUGCCGGAAGGUUAAUUGAUGGGGUCAGCGCAAGCGAAGCUCUUGAUCGAAGCCCCGGUAAACGGCGGCCGUAACUAUAACGGUCCUAAGGUAGCGAAAUUCCUUGUCGGGUAAGUUCCGACCUGCACGAAUGGCGUAAUGAUGGCCAGGCUGUCUCCACCCGAGACUCAGUGAAAUUGAACUCGCUGUGAAGAUGCAGUGUACCCGCGGCAAGACGGAAAGACCCCGUGAACCUUUACUAUAGCUUGACACUGAACAUUGAGCCUUGAUGUGUAGGAUAGGUGGGAGGCUUAGAAGUGUGGACGCCAGUCUGCAUGGAGCCGACCUUGAAAUACCACCCUUUAAUGUUUGAUGUUCUAACGUUGACCCGUAAUCCGGGUUGCGGACAGUGUCUGGUGGGUAGUUUGACUGGGGCGGUCUCCUCCUAAAGAGUAACGGAGGAGCACGAAGGUUGGCUAAUCCUGGUCGGACAUCAGGAGGUUAGUGCAAUGGCAUAAGCCAGCUUGACUGCGAGCGUGACGGCGCGAGCAGGUGCGAAAGCAGGUCAUAGUGAUCCGGUGGUUCUGAAUGGAAGGGCCAUCGCUCAACGGAUAAAAGGUACUCCGGGGAUAACAGGCUGAUACCGCCCAAGAGUUCAUAUCGACGGCGGUGUUUGGCACCUCGAUGUCGGCUCAUCACAUCCUGGGGCUGAAGUAGGUCCCAAGGGUAUGGCUGUUCGCCAUUUAAAGUGGUACGCGAGCUGGGUUUAGAACGUCGUGAGACAGUUCGGUCCCUAUCUGCCGUGGGCGCUGGAGAACUGAGGGGGGCUGCUCCUAGUACGAGAGGACCGGAGUGGACGCAUCACUGGUGUUCGGGUUGUCAUGCCAAUGGCACUGCCCGGUAGCUAAAUGCGGAAGAGAUAAGUGCUGAAAGCAUCUAAGCACGAAACUUGCCCCGAGAUGAGUUCUCCCUGACUCCUUGAGAGUCCUGAAGGAACGUUGAAGACGACGACGUUGAUAGGCCGGGUGUGUAAGCGCAGCGAUGCGUUGAGCUAACCGGUACUAAUGAACCGUGAGGCUUAACCUU